rnacentral:lncRNA from 1 species
GAAGCUCAGUGCUAUUUCUCACACGACAGUUGUUAUGUAUUCUUUACUAAAAUCACCCUGAAGGCAGAGGUUGCAGUAAGCCAAGAUCUCACUACUGCACUCUAGCCUGGGUGACUGAGCAAGAACUCCGUCUCAAAAAAAAAAGAGAGAAAGAUGCCUGUCCCCUAAUUUUUAUAUUGAUUGCAUGUUGGAAGAAUAUUUGGGGAAUACUGGGUAAAAUAAAAUAUAUUUUUAAUUUUGGGGUUUUUUUUUACAUUUUUAUUAUAGUUACCAGAAAUUUUAAAUUACUUAAUGCCACUGCACUCCAGCCCGGGUGACAGAGUAAGACUGCAUCUCAAAAAAAAAAAAAAAAAAAAAGAACCUGAUUGCCUGAUUGUAAUCUUAUAAAGUUACCAAAAUAAACUUCGGGAGAUAAAACGGAAGAUACAGACUAUUGGUCAAACUAGAGUCCUAUCUCCUUACUGAGUUUAAUGUUACAUUUCCUAAAGAAAAUGAACAAUGACAUAUGAUGAACUUACAGGCACUUUUCAAAUUCCGGCAGAACAGUUCCUAAUUGCAUUCGCCGACGAGUCACAUCAAAUGGGUAGCUAAAAGAAGAAAAAGGCAUAAAGAGUCUAACCUAGGAGUCGGGAUAUAGGCAUAUGAAUAAAAUCAAUUAACAAUACAGAGAUCUUUGCUUAUGUGAUCCCUCUGAUUAGAGGAUUCUUCUCUCCCAUCACCGUAAUAUCAAGUCAACACUGGCACUACUGACAUUUUCGGUUGGAUCAUCCUUUGUUGUGGGGAACUGUCCUGUGCACUAGAGAUGUUUAAGCACAUCCCUGACCUCUUCCCACUAGGUGCCAGUAGCACUCUCCCAGCUGUGACAACCAAAAAUG